AGGUAAGCUACUAAGAGCGAAUGGUGGAUGCCUUGACUGGUAAAGGCGAUGAAGGACGUACUAGACUGCGAUAAGCUACGGGGAGCUGUCAAGAAGCUUUGAUCCGUAGAUUUCCGAAUGGGGCAACCCAAUGUAUAGAGAUAUACAUUACCUAUAUAGGAGCGAACGAGGGGAAUUGAAACAUCUUAGUACCCUCAGGAAAAGAAAUCAAUAGAGAUUGCGUCAGUAGCGGCGAGCGAAAGCGCAAGAGGGCAAACCCAGUGCUUGCACUGGGGGUUGUAGGACUGCAAUGUGCAAGAGCUGAGUUUAGCAGAACAUUCUGGAAAGUAUAGCCAUAGAGGGUGAUAGUCCCGUAUGCGAAAAACAAAGCUUAGCUAGCAGUAUCCUGAGUAGGGCGGGACACGAGGAAUCCUGUCUGAAUCCGGGUCGACCACGAUCCAACCCUAAAUACUAAUACCAGAUCGAUAGUGCACAAGUACCGUGAGGGAAAGGUGAAAAGAACUGAGGUGAUCAGAGUGAAAUAGAACCUGAAACCAUUUGCUUACAAUCAUUCAGAGCACUAUGUAGCAAUACAGUGUGAUGGACUGCCUUUUGCAUAAUGAGCCUGCGAGUUGUGGUGUCUGGCAAGGUUAAGCAAACGCGAAGCCGUAGCGAAAGCGAGUCUGAAUAGGGCGCUUAGUCAGAUGCUGCAGACCCGAAACGAAGUGAUCUAUCCAUGAGCAAGUUGAAGCUAGUGUAAGAACUAGUGGAGGACUGAACCCAUAGGCGUUGAAAAGCCCCGGGAUGACUUGUGGAUAGGGGUGAAAGGCCAAUCAAACUUCGUGAUAGCUGGUUCUCUCCGAAAUAUAUUUAGGUAUAGCGUUGUGUCGUAAUAUAAGGGGGUAGAGCACUGAAUGGGCUAGGGCAUACACCAAUGUACCAAACCCUAUCAAACUCCGAAUACCUUAUAUGUAAUCACAGCAGUCAGGCGGCGAGUGAUAAAAUCCGUCGUCAAGAGGGAAACAACCCAGACUACCAGCUAAGGUCCCUAAAUCUUACUUAAGUGGAAAACGAUGUGAAGUUACUUAAACAACCAGGAGGUUGGCUUAGAAGCAGCCAUCCUUUAAAGAAAGCGUAAUAGCUCACUGGUCUAGUGAUUUUGCGCGGAAAAUAUAACGGGGCUAAAGUAAGUACCGAAGCUGUAGACUUAGUUUACUAAGUGGUAGGAGAGCGUUCUAUUUGCGUCGAAGGUAUACCGGUAAGGAGUGCUGGAGCGAAUAGAAGUGAGCAUGCAGGCAUGAGUAGCGAUAAUUAAUGUGAGAAUCAUUAACGCCGUAAACCCAAGGUUUCCUACGCGAUGCUCGUCAUCGUAGGGUUAGUCGGGUCCUAAGUCGAGUCCGAAAGGGGUAGACGAUGGCAAAUUGGUUAAUAUUCCAAUACCAACAUUAGUGUGCGAUGGAAGGACGCUUAGGGCUAAGGGGGCUAGCGGAUGGAAGUGCUAGUCUAAGGUCGUAGGAGGUUAUACAGGAAAAUCCGUAUAACAAUACUCCGAGAA
rnacentral:rRNA from 1 species